AUUGGUGUACUGCCUUUUUUUUUUUUCCCUUUGCACAGCAAAACACUAUAUUCUUCCGAUUAUUUUUUUUAUUUUUUUUUUUACGGCACCAGCAGGCACCAGAGUUCAUGUUCAUCACGGCUUUGGGCCAAAUGAAGCACAAAACUGCAGCUGUGUGAACCAAGGCCCCCACAGUGCUACUCUCCUGGCUGAUAAAUGCGUACCUCAGUGUGGUGCUGCUCGCCUAGAAUAGUUUAUUGAAGGCAAGAUGCAUUUAAAUAGGGCACAGUGGUAGCAUGUUAAUCUGCCACAGAUAAUAGUUAGACUGCAGUGCGUUUAUUUGUUGCUAUCAACAACGUAGUUGCAAAUUUGGGGGCACGACAGACAAUAUAAAAGCUGAUUUUAUGGCUUCUGCCGGGCUACAGCAAAUUGUUUGUUACAACGUGGAGGCAACAGGUGAUUUUUUUUUUUAAGCUCCCCUAUACUUUCUCCUAGCCAAACAGCAAAGUAAAAUGGGCUUUAGAGCUGCUGCUGCCCCAGCCGGUUGUUCGGUGGUUACAAGGUUUGCAGAAGAAGUGACAGGAGCAGAUUUUGGUGGGAUUUUGUUGGUUUUUCUCUCCCUGUCAUGCUCAGCCGAAGCGCUGAAGAGGGCCAGGAAAGCAAACACCCCUCUGGGUGACAGAGGUGCCCCUCCAUCGGGGCAACUUCUUAUUUCUCUCCCUAUAAUUUGCUGGAAAAGGCUUUGGGAGGAGGCAGCAGGAGCCAAGACACCAGCCCAAGGGAACUGAACCCCCCCCUUGUUCUCCUCCGUGUGUUUGCCAAGGCUACCAGCUCACACAUGGGGAUUUACCUUCCCUUGCUUCUCUCUUUGGGUGGAGGGGGAAGUCACCCGAGGUAUCUAACAGCAGUUCAGGGAGCCCAUCUCAUCUUGCAUGAAUGUUUUUGGGAGAUGAGGGCUAUUACCGGGCCCUUCUGCAGUUAAUUACAUUGUAACUCAAGGCAUUUUUUUCCAGUAUUAUGGAAAUGGCAGAUCCUCUCCUACUGAUCUCUUUUAAACAUUUCUCCUGUUUGUAAGAACCGCUCCAAGCGGGAAGCUACCAUGGACCUGAAUAAUUGAAGCAAUAUUAUCUAUGAUAAUAUGUACCUCUGUCAUUUUCUGUUCCGAUGGAUUAUUAUUUCUUCUUUUUUUUACUUUUUUUUUUUUUUGCAAUAAACAUCACACUACUAGCAAUAACAUUUCCUGGAGCGCUUGAAGGGCCAUAAAAGCUGGUCCAGUAAACUGAGCAGUUGGUUCCCCCAGCCUGUUCCUGGUUACACAGUUCAAAAAAAGUGGCUGUCAGCUGUUUCUUAAUUGGGAGAUUCAAAAAAAAAUAUCACACUACCCUGCUCUGGUGGGGCAGGAUACUGCCAUAGGCGCCUGGGGGUGCACGGCGCCUGCGGCUCUUCCUCGAGUCGGGCUUUUUGGGCAGAAAAAGGGAAAAUGAAAACCUGCCCUCCCUCUCCAGGGGGGUCUGUGUCCCCUGAUAAAGCUCGAUGGUGACUGUGAGAUGGUUUUGCAGAGCUGGGUUUCUCACCCUGGUACCUGCCCCCCCCGCCCACGAUGUCGCCACCGUUCGCCAAACGAGAUGAAAUGGAGUAAUUAAGGGUUGUGAUGAACUAGUUUGGCUUCUGCUCUCUCUACCUGGAGAAGGAGCUUGUCUGGGUUAUACGUAUGUGCUGGGUUUUUAAAGAUUGUGUAAUAAAGGAAAAAUUGAUCCAAUUAAAAGUGCAUUGCAAA